GUGACAGCCGCCGCGGUAAUACGUAGGUGGCGAGCGUUGUCCGGAUUUACUGGGCGUAAAGAGCGCGCAGGCGGCUGGGCAAGUCCGAUGUGAAAGCUUCCGGCUUAACUGGAAAAUUGCGUCGGAAACUGCUCGGCUUGAAGGUGGGAGAGGGUAGCGGAAUUCCCGGUGUAGUGGUGAAAUGCGUAGAUAUCGGGAGGAACAUCAGUGGCGAAGGCGAAUUUCUGGACAGAGACUGACACUGAGGCACGAAAGCAUGGGGAGCAAACAGGAUUAGAAACCCUAGUAGUCC
rnacentral:rRNA from 1 species